rnacentral:rRNA from 1 species
UGAGGAAUAUUGGUCAAUGGGCGCGAGCCUGAACCAGCCAAGUCGCGUGAGGGAUGACGGUCCUACGGAUUGUAAACCUCUUUUGCCGGGGAGCAAGCGUGCGUUCGUGAACGCGCGUCGAGAGUACCCGGAGAAAAAGCAUCGGCUAACUCCGUGCC